rnacentral:ncRNA from 1 species
GCGUAAGCCCAAAAACAAAGUCUUGGUCCUGAACCCCACGUUACCUGCCUCCAAAACUAUACAUGCAAGCCUCAACACAACAGUGAGUAGCCCACCCCAAAAAGGUGGAGCGGGCAUCAGACCCUAGGGCCAACCUAAUCAAAAACGCCACGCAACGCCACGCCUACACAGGAAACUCAGCAGUAACUAAAAUUGGGCAAUGAACGAAAGUUUGACCUAGUUAUGGAAAUCAAAGCCGGUAAAACUCGUGCCAGCUACCGCGGUUAUACGAGAGGCUUAAGAUAACGUUAAAACGGCGAAAGAUGGUCAGAGAAAGUCAAAAAAUUAAGGACGAAAACCACCAGCUGUCUAACGCCAAGCCCAAAAGUAAGCCCACUGCCUUAACCUAAAGACAACUUCAGCCACAAAAGCUAGGAAACAAACUAGGAUUAGAUACCCUACUAUGCCUAGCCCUACAAGGCACACUGCCCGCCAGAUCAGUACGAGCGAAAGCUUAAAACUCAAAGGACUUGACGGUGCCCCACACCAACCUAGAGGAGCCUGUUCCAUAAUCGAUAACCCACGCUCAACCCGACCGCCCCUCGCCCAUCAGCCUAUAUACCGCCGUCGUCAGUUCACCCCGCAAGGGUCGAAAAGUGAGCAUAAACGUCAUACACUAAAACGACAGGUCAAAGCGUAGCAAAUGAGGCGGAGCGAAAUGGGCUACAAUCUCUACAACAGAGGAAACGAAAGAGUGACAUGAAAAAUCACCCGAAGCUGGAUUUAGCAGUAAGUUGAACUAGCCUGUUCACCUGAACACAGUCCCGGGGCGCGCACACACCGCCCGUCACCCCCAUCCUCCAACCCACCACCCAAAUCCAUAAAACAAAAUCACACCAAAGAUGGGGUAAGUCGUAACAUGGUAAGCGUACUGGAAAGUGCGCUUGAACAC